rnacentral:rRNA from 1 species
CAAGUCGAGGGGCAGCAGGUUUGUAGCAAUACAGAUGCUGGCGACCGGCAAACGGGUGCGGAACACGUACAGAACCUUCCUUUAAGCGGGGAAUAGCCCAGAGAAAUUUGGAUUAAUACCCCAUAGUAUUGUUGAGUGGCAUCACUUGAUGAUUAAAGAUUUAUCACUUAAAGAUGGCUGUGCGGCUGAUUAGGUAGUUGGCGGGGUAACGGCCCACCAAGCCUUCGAUCAGUAACUGGUGUGAGAGCACGACCAGUCACACGGGCACUGAGACACGGGCCCGACUCCUACGGGAGGCAGCAGUAAGGAAUAUUGGGCAAUGGACGAAAGUCUGACCCAGCCAUGCCGCGUGGAGGAUGAAGGUCCUCUGGAUUGUAAACUUCUUUUAUUUGGGAAGAAACCCGAUUUUUCUAAGUCGGUUGACGGUACCAGAUGAAUAAGCACCGGCUAACUCCGUGCCAGCAGCCGCGGUAAUACGGAGGGUGCAAGCGUUAUCCGGAUUCACUGGGUUUAAAGGGUGCGUAGGCGGGCAGGUAAGUCAGUGGUGAAAUCUCCGGGCUUAACCCGGAAACUGCCGUUGAUACUAUCUGUCUUGAAUAUCGUGGAGGUAAGCGGAAUAUGUCAUGUAGCGGUGAAAUGCUUAGAUAUGACAUAGAACACCCAUUGCGAAGGCAGCUUACUACACGAUCAUUGACGCUGAGGCACGAAAGCGUGGGGAGCAAACAGGAUUAGAUACCCUGGUAGUCCACGCCCCUAAACGAUGGAUACUCGACAUCAGCGAUACACUGUUGGUGUCUGAGCGAAAAGCAUUAAGUAUCCCACCUGGGAAGUACGACCGCAAGGUUGAAACUCAAAGGA